ensembl:antisense Gm42650 predicted gene 42650
CACCCGGUUGCAUUGCUGACCCCAAAUCGAAUGCACCAGGAACCGUUAGUGUCGGGCAUGCUGUAGUUCAGAAGCGCCAAGAACUCACGGCAGGAAAUGCUGUUUCAAGCAUAUUCCUUGUAAGGCUGCCUUCCUCACCCCCAUGUCCCAGGAGCUACUGAUGAAGGAGGACCCUUUAAGACAUGAGCCUGGAGUCCUAGGUGGUGACAGUAGAGGUCCUUUCUGAGCUGCUGCCUCUGUGUGGACCUCCGCUCUGCCUGCAGUGGCAGAUGCCAGCUACGUGAUCCCCAAAGGACUUUCUACCAUGAUAUCCGUCGCCUCAGUUCCUAACUGCCUGCAUUCUAGAAUCCAGUGGUUUCUGUGCUUGAGGCAGUUUUGUGAAGAAGCUUAAACCUGUGCUAAAUUCUUGAAUAAAUAUCUUUACUGUCAACCUCUACUUCUGGGAAAUAUGCCCUUCCCUUUGCUUUUCUAAGCUUUAAAUACCAAAUGAAAUGUGUCUUACGAUCUCUAUUUUUAUCUCUAUUAAAGAAAUCGUUUUUAAAUGACCCGAAAUAAACAACUUUCACCAAGUGACA